rnacentral:misc_RNA from 1 species
AAAAAAUUAAGAAAAAGUAGAUUAUCCCAUUUUAUUCUUGCUUAGUUUGGAUUUUGCGACACUGACCUUCUGCUACAUGACGUCACACUAAUAGAGCGUAUUCCAAAUUUUUACAAAUCUGUCAAAUUUUAUAUUUAUAAAACUCGAAUAGAAUUUUUGGUGACUCCUACUAAUUAAAAUAAAAAUAAAAUUAAUAAACAAAAGUACUGCUGGAUAUGGUUAAGUUCUACCCAAAGAGAGAGUUAAUUCUUUGGCAACCCGCGAAAUGAAUUAGUAUAGGAAUGAUGUUUGUUGUGUUUUUUUGUGCUAUAGCACUAUUCAACAAUAUUCCCGCCGAAUUCUUCAUAUCUUAUUUUUAAUGUAAUAAGUGCUAAUACUUACUUAUAAUAGUGUAAUAUAUAAAGUUAUUUGGACAAUGCUUCUAUAUAAGUGGUUUUCUGUUUUUGUACUAUUAGAUAUCAUGCAUAACAGUUCUACUCUAUUUUUCAUAUUUUUAUGGUGAGGUCUAUAUCAAGAGUUUCAAGGAAUUAUUAAGGAAACCGCAUUAAUGCAAGGGAGGAGAUGUCUGAGCAAACUGAAGAAUUACGGAAUAUGCUCUUCAGUUUUCGAGUGUCAGAAUUACAAAUGUUAUUGGGCUAUGCUGGUAGAAAUAAGACAGGACGUAAAACCGAACUUCAACAAAGAGCUGUAGAAUUACUCAGAGUUAGAACACAUCCGAUCCAUCAAAAAAUCAGAGAAUUAUAUAAAACCAUACAAUCCAACUUUUCCAGGCAAGCCAGUACACUGACAUCAGGUCCUCAGACAAAUUCUGCAACUCCAGAUCAACAAACUCAAGUUACAACAAUGUCACAGCAACCUGGGAACAUAACAAGAAAUACAGCUCAAGUUCACCCAUUUAGUGUAGAUUCAAGGACAAUGACUACUAGACAGGCAGCCACUACUGCCAUGUACAGCACACCUAGUAUGGCUCAAAAUAUGUAUUAUCCUCAAUAUACAAAUCCAAAACAACCUGUUAUGUCCAGUAAUUUUCCAGUUCAUCCAGAUGUUAGAUUUCGUAGAUUACCUUUUUAUGACAUAAUAGCUGAUCUCAUAAAGCCCUCCACUUUGGUGCCUCAAACAAGUCAGCGCAUGCAGGAGCAACUAUUUUAUUUUCAUUUAACUCCACAACAGGCCACAGAUAUAGCCAUCUCGAGAGAUAUUAGGCCAGGAGUUAAAUGUGAUUAUAUUAAACAAGUUCAGUUAAGAUUUUGUUUAUUGGAAACAACUUGUGAACAAGAGGACUGUUUUCCACCUCAAGUUAUGGUUAAAGUUAAUAACAAGUUAUGUCCUCUUCCGAAUCCUAUUCCAACAAACAAGCCAGGUGUAGAGCCAAAGAGACCACCCAGACCAGUUAACAUAACUCAAAUGGUCAAAUUAAGUCCAACUGUGGCCAAUCAAAUAUCAGUAUCUUGGGCAGCUGACUAUGGUCGUGGCUAUGCUAUGGCAGUGGCGCUUGUACACAAACUGAGUUCUACUGAUUUGCUUCAGAGGUUACAGAAAAAAGGUGCAAAACAUUCUGAUCAUACAAGAGCACUCAUAAAAGAAAAAUUAAGCGACGAUGGAGAUUGCGAAAUUGCGACAACUAGUUUAAGAGUUUCAUUAAUGUGUCCUUUGGGCAAAAUGCGAAUGUCUACUCCUUGCAGGCCACAAACUUGUGGACAUUUGCAGUGUUUUGAUGCAUCUUUGUUCCUCCAAAUGAACGAACGUAAACCAACUUGGAACUGUCCUGUCUGUGAUAAACCUGCAGUGUAUGACAACUUGGUCAUUGAUGGGUAUUUUCAAGAAGUUCUAAAUUCUGUAUUGCUGCCAUCGGAGUGCAAUGAAAUACAGCUUCUAAAGGAUGGAAGUUGGAGCAGCCAGAACAGUGACAAGAAGGUUGUCAAGAGCGAAAAGUCAGUACCAACUAGUAUAGCUAUUGACGAUUCCAUCGAGAUAAUAGAUGAUAAUGUUGAAAUCGUGAGCUCAAACGUCACUCCGCCAUCCUCCUCAACUGACAAACCUAAAGAGCCAGAAAAGAAGAAGGAAGUUGUAGACCUGACGGUGUCAGACUCUGAUGACGACGAGCCACUAGCCAAGCGAAGGCCUCCGCCAAAGCCAGAUUCUACCAUCAAAUUUAAUGGACUGGAGACAGCCAAAUCCCUGGUCCAAAGAAAGAUAGAUGACUUUUUCUCGUUGGAUUUUAAUCGCAGCGUUGACUGCUGACGAACGAAGGGGUAACUGAUAAGGAUGGGCGAUAAUGGAUUUUACCUAUCGAUAAGUUAUCGCUAUUCACCUGUCGAUAUGUCGAUAAUUAUCAAUAUAUCGAUAAUCAGGGGUAAGUUGAUAUAUCGAUAACUGUCGAUAUAUCUGUAGGUAUCGAUAACUAGUUAUCAAUAUAUCGGGGAGAAAUCUGUCCCUAAUCAUACGCAGAACAAUAUAUCCUCAUCUAGUUCGACUCAAGCGCGUACCACAACCACUCCGGGGCCUUCUUCAGUUUCCAGUUCUGGAUAUCCCGUCAGUCCUGGGGUGAUAAACCUGGACAGUCC